GCCGAGUUAGCUCAGUUGGCAGAGCACUUCACUAGUAAUGAAGGGGUCGCUGGUUCGAAUCCAGUACUCGGCA
rnacentral:tRNA from 1 species